rnacentral:rRNA from 1 species
UACGUAGGGGGCGAGCGUUGUCCGAAUUUACUGGGCGUAAAGAGCGCGUAGGCGGGUCUUUAAGUGAGGGGUGAAAGGUUCGGGCUCAACCCGGACACUGCCUUUCAUACUGGAGACCUUGAGUGCGGGAGGGGCGAGUGGAAUGGUCGGUGUAGCGGUGAAAUGCGUAGAUAUCGAUCGGAACACCCAUGGCGAAGGCAGCUCGCUGGCCUGCAACUGACGCUGAGGCGCGAAAGCGUGGGGAGCAAACAGG